AUUGAACGCUGGCGGCAGGCUUAACACAUGCAAGUCGAGCGGGGUGAUGGUGCUUGCACUAUCACUUAGCGGCAGACGGGUGAGUAAUGCUUAGGAAUCUGCUUAUUAGUGGGGGACAACAUCUCGAGAGGGAUGCUAAUACCGCAUACGUCCUACGGGAGAAAGCAGGGGAUCACUUGUGACCUUGCGCUAAUAGAUGAGCCUAAGUCGGAUUAGCUAGUUGGUGGGGUAAAGGCCUACCAAGGCGACGAUCUGUAGCGGGUCUGAGAGGAUGAUCCGCCACACUGGGACUGAGACACGGCCCAGACUCCUACGGGAGGCAGCAGUGGGGAAUAUUGGACAAUGGGGGGAACCCUGAUCCAGCCAUGCCGCGUGUAUGAAGAAGGCCUUAUGGUUGUAAAGCACUUUAAGCGAGGAGGAGGCUCUUUUGGUUAAUACCCAAGAUGAGUGGACGUUACUCGCAGAAUAAGCACCGGCUAACUCUGUGCCAGCCGCCGCCGUAA
rnacentral:rRNA from 1 species